GACGAACGCUGGCGGCGUGCCUAAUACAUGCAAGUCGAGCGCAGGAAAUCGACGGAACCCUUCGGGGGGAAGUCGACGGAAUGAGCGGCGGACGGGUGAGUAACACGUAAAGAACCUGCCCUCAGGUCUGGGAUAACCACGAGAAAUCGGGGCUAAUACCGGAUGGGUCAUCGGACCGCAUGGUCCGAGGAUGAAAGGCGCUCCGGCGUCGCCUGGGGAUGGCUUUGCGGUGCAUUAGCUAGUUGGUGGGGUAAUGGCCCACCAAGGCGACGGUGGAUAGCCGACCGGGAGGGGGGAUCGGCCACACGGGGACUGGGACACGGCCCAGACUCCGACGGGAGGCAGCAGUAGGGAAUCUUCCACAAUGGACGAAAGUCUGAUGGAGCAACGCCGCGUGAACGAUGAAGGCCUUGGGGUCGUAAAGUUCUGUUGUAAGGGAAGAACAAGUGCCGCAGGCAAUGGCGGCACCUUGACGGUACCUUGCGAGAAAGCCACGGCUAACUACGUGCCAGCAGCCGCCGUAACAC
rnacentral:rRNA from 1 species